UGCAUCUGUAUUUAUUUAAAAAUGCUUUUGCAACCUGACACUGUUCAGCUUUUUUAUCUUUUACCAGUAUUUGGGGACUUAUUGGGGAUUCCUUUGAUAAUUUCAGGAAGAAAGAAGUGGAAUGGAAGGAGCCAGUAACUGUCCCAGGUCAGAAAACGCCUCUGAAAAGGAUCUACAUUACACCCAAAGUUCAUUGGAUAACUGCACCCUCAACAAUCAGGAGACAAUAAGUGGUGUAGACAGAGCUAAUAUCUUCCCCAAAUCAGAUGGUACCUCUGAAGACAUUCAGCAUUCCACAGACUGUUCACAGGUUGAGACUUUCCACAUUCAGGAGACAAUAAGUGGUACGAACCAAGCCAGUAACUGCCCCAAAUCAGAUGGUGCCUCUGAAGACAAUCAGCAUUGCACAGACAGUUCACAGCAUGACAGUAUCUUCCACAUUCAGGAGACAAUAAAGGGUAUGAACCAAGCCAGUAACUGCCCCAAAUCAGAUGGUGCCUCUGAAGACAAUCAGCAUUGCACAGACAGUUCACAGCAUGACAGUAUCUUCCACAUUCAGGAGACAAUAAAGGGUAUGAACCAAGCCAGUAACUGCCCCAAAUCAGAUGGUGCCUCUGAAGACAAUCAGCAUUGCACAGACAGUUCACAGCAUGACAGUAUCUUCCACAUUCAGGAGACAAUAAAGGGUAUGAACCAAGCCAGUAACUGCCCCAAAUCAGAUGGUGCCUCUGAAGACAAUCAGCAUUGCACAGACCGUCCACAGCAUGACAGUAUCUUCCACAUUCAGUGGCUCUUGAUGUAGAACCACCCAUAGAUCCUUCUGCAAAAGAAGUCCAGAAAUCUUCAAUUGAACAAGCAACAGAAAUAACAAGUACCACAACUACCAUGAAAGGUACUGUUUGUUAAACUUCAUAGAAAGCCUUUAUGAACUUAAAAAUCUCUGUUUUUUCUGAUGUGCUUUGUUCAUUCAGGUCGAAAGGUGGUAAAGAAAAAGAAAUGGGACAGUGAUGAAAUGAAUGCAGUUGAAAAGCAUCUAAACAGGUUCAUCAAAACUUGUACAGUGCCAGGAAAACAACAAUGUGAGGCCUGUAUAAAUGCUGAACCUGUUGCCUUGAAAGACAGGGAUUGGUUGUCUGUAAAGUUCUUUGUGAAGAACAAAAUCACUACCCUUAAAAGAAGAAUGUAAAGUCAGUUAUUUUAUUUUGUUUGGUAUCUUAUUUUCUGGUAUUUUAGAUUUCUGGUUAUUACAUUUGUUUUAAAAGGAUCUUAGAAUCUCUUUUUUUUUUUUUUUUGGAAAUGGGUGCAAUUCAGUAAAGUGUCUUUGAAUCGAAUGUAAAUAUGUACAGAAUACUGUUCAGAAUGCUACAUAAAAAUAGCAAAAAAAAAUAAAUAUUUUAUUCAUGUUAUUAAAUUUUGAUCU
rnacentral:lncRNA from 1 species